rnacentral:tRNA from 10 species
GUGAGACCCUGUCAUAAAAUAAAAUAAAAUAAAAUAAAAUAAAAUAAAAUAAAAUAAAAUAAAAUAAAAUAAAAUAAAAUAGUUAAACCCAGGCCGGGAGGGGUAGCUCACACAUGUAAUCACAGCACUUUGGGAGGCUGAGGUGGGCGGAUCACCUGAGGUCAGGAGUUUGAGACCAGCCUGGCCAACAUGGUGAAACCCCAUCUCUACUAAAAAUACAAAAAUUAGCUGGGCGUGGUUGCAAGCACCUGUAGUCCCAGCUACUCAGGAGGCUGAGACAGGAGAAUUACUUGAACCUGGGAGACAGAGGUUGCCGUGAGCCAAGAUCUCACCAGUGCAGUACAGCGUGGGUGACAGAGCAAGUAAGUAAAGAGGAGGUUUGGAAUUAGAUAUUUGGUGUAUGAAUGAAUGGGCUAAAGUGCAAAAGAACAGGCAGAAUAACUGAGCUGGUACAGAGGAAAAAAAUCACACUUAAAAUCUAAAAGUAUCUGCUUCUCAAUUUGGGCUUUCCCACUUAGCAGCUUUGACACCUUAGAAAGAACACUUAACUUACCUGAGCUUCUAUUACUUCUAAAAAGUGCAUAAAGUGCAGGCUAAGACAUAGUUUUUUUGGCAAAAUUCAGUCAGACUACAUCAAGUAAACUCCCUAAGUCUCCUAGUAUAAUUCAUGGCACAAAAACUGGGGAAAAAACAGGGAGGAUAUGUUUAUAAGUUCAGUUUGGGUUUUUUGUUGAGUGAAUGUCUCCAGUCAUAGAGAUGCAAGUGUAGAUACACCGUAAGAGUAGUAUGAACAGGAGACACCUUGGAAGGCUAUUUCUUCCUUCAUUCAUUCAGUUGGUCACUCAAUGAACUAUCAUGAAUUGAGCACUACCUCUGUUUCUUAUCAACAAAGGAGACUACGGAAAAGAAGAGUGACUAAGAUCUCUGAAGAAGGGAAAAGCUAGAUGACUGGGCCACAAGAGGAAAAAAAGCAGCAAGACAGAGAUUUGUUGGUGCCAACUAAAUGAGCCCAACAGCCAGUGACAACAGAACUGCACUAAAAAAAGUCCCUCAUCAGCUCUUGAGAGCAGGUUCCUUAAAGGUGAACAAUAUUCCACAUACAAGGACUUUUUCAGCACCAUGCAUUAGAAAUGGAAGUGAAUGUUUAUUAUUUUUUGUAUAAGUUGGUUGAUACGGCUUUUCAGCUUCCCUCAGUAUCAUUAUCCAAAUUUUGUAGAUGACACUAAAGCUCAGAGGAGUUAAACCAUUUUCCUCAAAUCACAUAGUUUUAAAUAGGAAAACCAGAUAUGAAAAGCAGAUUUUUUUCUAAAUUAAAAAAAAAAAAAAAACUUGAGCUCUUGCUUUACCCUAGCACAUAGUCUCACCAUCUGUUUUCUCCAUGCCAGGUCAUUCAUGUAACAUUCAUUCACAUAACAAAUACAAAUAAAUGAGUGGAUUCAUUCAUCAGCUAUUAAUUCAGAAUCUCUUUUGUGUCUACCACACUAGGCUCAAGACUUCCCAGUGUCUUUGUCUCCUCUCCCUCAAAUCUCUCCACCCAAUGUCUUGACAAAUACUGUAGAUCCUUCCUGCACAGCAUCACCAGAAUGUUUUUCUUUCUUUUCAUUCACCUCUGUCAUCAUCCAUGCUAUGGUGUUUAUGGAGGAUGUAUUCUGCAGCAGGAAGUGUGAUGGGCACUGACGCUGCAGAAAGACUCCUGUUGUCCACCUCGGGAGCUGACACGAUAAAUGCGGGUAAAUCUCAAUCCUUUAAUAUCUUUAUGACUUCUUUCUCUUUCUCUUCAAUUUCUAUUUUCUCAUGUUCAAGCUCUGACAUUCAAAACUAAACACCUUUCUCUAACAUGUUGCUUUAAUUAUUUAAGCAUUCUGCCUGGGAUUUUUUCAAUUACUCUUGGGAGUUUUCAUAAAACUCUACCAACAUAUCUCCAAGUGGCCAGGCUUUUCAAUCACUGCUUCCCUCCGUGUGUAUUUCACACACACACACACACACACACACACACACAGCACUUAAAUUGAACAGGUUUAUUUCUUCACACAGGAAUUCCUACGAACAGCCCGGUUUUCUCCACCAUAUGUCCACUCCUUCUCUGCAUAGCUGAAUUUUGAUUCUUACACUCUAAUAUUUUACAUAUUCUUACACUCUGAUAUGAUCUUGUCUCUUAUUCUUUAUGGCUCUGCUCUGUAAUUUUGUUGUUGUUGUUCUGAGAUAUAGUUGGACAUGUAACUUGUACAUGACACACCUUAGCAAGGAGGCAACCUAUAUCUCAGAUGCAAGUGAAAGAAGCACUCCCCAGGGGUUUCCUAAGGUAGUGGUCAGCACGCUGGCUUCAUUCCUGAAAGGGCCUAGUUAUGAAAACAACAGGAGCUUUUUGCCUUCCAGAAAUCUGUACCAUCUCAAAAUCCCCAGAGAGUCUCAGCUACAAGGAACAAGUGAUAAUACUAUCUCACUUUUAUAAACACACACACACAACACACACACACAAAAUCAUUUAAUCAUUUUUAAUUAUUUAAUCAUUUUUUAAAAAUCAGUGACACUUUAGAUGGGCAGGUCUAGGCAGGGCCUCCUUUCCUGGAAUGUGCCUUUUUCUGUCCCGGAAUACCCUAAACUUGACAUUUUGGCAGUGUGAGUUUUCCCUUUUUGACUUUCUCCUUGUUCCCUUUCCUCUUCCUUCUUUGCAGAGAAUGAGUAGCCACUGCACCUUGCCCUGGGCCAUCAGUGAGAAGAUCUGCUCUUAGUAGAGCCCUGCUUUCCCGCUGAAGGCCCUGAAAUCCCCUGUGUUCCAGGCCACCCACUAAGGAUCAAUAAAGCUCCCCUGAUGUGGGGGAAUUAGCUCAAGUGGUAGAGCGCUUGCUUAGCAUGCAAGAGGUAGUGGGAUCGAUGCCCACAUUCUCCAAACUUUAUUAUUUAGACCCUGGGUCUCCAAACACUCAGGUCUCCAAACCCAAGUCAGAGAACAGGAUGCUGCUUUGGUUCAAGAUGUAGGAGCAGCAACAAUACAGGGCUGGUGACGGCUCCCUCCUGGCAUUCAGUAUAGUGUAGAUCUACCGUGUAAUUAAUUUUCUGCUUCUUUGAGGAGCUGUGAAACCAAGGGACAUAAACAAUUGCUCUUUUCUCCCUGUUUCUGCCUGUAGCUUGAAUGUGAGGCAACUGUGAAAAGUGCAGGGCAGAGCCACCUGGGUAAAUACAGCCCUGGCUUUCUGGUGAGAGGACUGAAACCAGGAUGUGUCAAGUAACUAGAAUGUGCCUGGACAGAUACUGUAGAAAGCAAACCCAUAAAGUUGUUCAUGAGCUUGUGGACGCACCUGCCAGCUGUGAAUAAGUGGGUCUAAUCCCAAACAACUUACCUAAAAAGAGCCUGAGGACUGAACUAAACAAUGGUCCACUUUCCAGUCCUCACUGACCACUGGUUGCACACACUCCAGAGAUCUCUCAUCCGCAGUGUCAAGGCUUUCAAAUAGAGUUAUCUGUGAAACAACAACACAUGGAAGUCUGGUUGGUACUUGGAGCUUAAAUACAAGGCAAUUGUGUGCCUGCAAAAACAAAAAGAGCAAUAUUAUCCUUAAGAUUUCAACAAGACACAGUGUCUCAUCACAUAAUCCAAAGAAGUCCAGGUUACAAGCCCCAAAAUAUUCAGCAUUAUGAAAAACCAGGGAGAUCUUAAUUCACAUGGCAAAGAGAAUCCUUGCAUAACAAUAUUGAGAGGACACAUAUGUCAAAAUCAUCUGACACAUACAUUAAAGCAGUUAUUAUAACAAUGCUCCUAGAAUUACGGGAUAGCAUUCAUGAAGUGAAUGGAAAGUUGGAAAGUCUCACCAAAUAUUUGGAAUAUGUAAACACCAAUUUAAACUUAAGAAUUAAAAAAAGUAUUAACCAAAACUAUUAGGGGAAAUAAAAAGCUUAAUUGGAUGAUCUCAAUAGCAGUAUGCAGAAGACUAAGGAAAAAGUCAAUGAACUUGAAAACGGAACAAGAAUACCUACAGAAUCUGACCUAUAGAAAGAAAGGAGGAUUUUAUUGUCCCUGAACAGAGGCUCAGGGACAAAUAAAAAAUAACAAAUCUAACAUUCACAUUAUUGUAAUCUGGAAACAUUCACAUUAUUGUAAGAGGACAAAGAGGUCUUUGUGGGAUAAAACUGUGAAGAAUUAAUGGCUGAAAAUGUAUCAAAUUUCUCAAAAGAUAUAAACCAGAUUUUUAAAGUUCAGUAAAUGUCAAGCAGGAUAAACCAAAAGAAACCCAUUGCAAGACAUAUCAUAAUCAAACUGCGGAAAAUUAAGAAAACACAAAACAAUUUUGAAAGCAGCCAAAGGGAAAUGAAAGAUAAAAUACCAAAUGAAUGAUUGUAGAUUUCUCAUCGGGAACCCAGGAGCCAGAAAAAAAUGUCAUAACAUUCAGUAAAUACCAAAGGAAAAAUACAUUAUCAACCCAGAAUGGUAUGUGGAGCAAAAGUAUCUUCCAGACAUAAAGGCAAAUAAAUGCAUUCUCAUUGGAAGGUAAAUAAAUACAUUCUCAGUCCUAGCAAAACUGCUGGAAAAGAAUUAGCAAAGGUUUGAGAUAAGAAAAGUGAUACCAGAAGGAAACUUAGAACAUCAUCAAUGAAGGAACAAAAGCAGAAAUAGAAAAUGUCUGGGUAGACAUAACAGACUAUUAUUCUUCUCUUGAGUUCCUUAAGGUAUGUUUGAUGGUUGAAAGCAAAAAUUGUAACUUUAUCUGAUGCAGUUGUCAUUGUAUCUAGAUGUACUACAUACAUAAGAUAAAAGGGUAAAUGUAAUGGGACUAACUCUUGAUGAAGUUUCUAUAUUCAACUUGAAUGGUAAAAUAUUGAUUCUUAGUAUACUGUGAAAAGUUAUAUAUGUAUAUGGUAAUCCCUAGACCACUUAACAACCAGAUUGAAAUAAACCAAAACAAGAUAGACAGAGGAACAUAGAAGAAUUAAAACAAAGGGAAAAAAGGUUAAUAAAUUAUUAAAUAGUAGAUCUAUCUAAAAACUUAUCUAUAAUAACAUUAUAUGUAAAUUAUCUAAAUGCAUUAAGUAAAAACUAGAGAUCAUCAGAAUGUGUUAAAAAUAAAUAUGCUGACUAAAGAAAGCCACCUGCAAUACACUUAUAAAUAAGAAUAAAAGUUAUAGAGCAGAUUGAAAGAAAAGAGUGGGAAAAGAUACCUCAUGCAAGCAUUAAUCAAAGACAGCUGUGGUGUAUAUAUAUAAAAUCAGACAAAGUAGAUUUGAAAGCAGAGAAACUUUUCAGGAAUAAUGAGGCCUCCUAAAUAAUUAUGAUUGUCAAUUUUUCAGGAGAAUAUUGUCCCAAAUGUAUAUGAGGACACAGAGCUUCAAAACUCAUAAACAAAAUUGGAUACGCCAAGUAAAAAUAGAAAAAUCCAGUUAUAGUUGCAGUCAUUAACACUCCUCUCUGAGUAAUUGGAAGAUUUAGUGGAACACAAAUCAACAGACAUACUGGAGAAUUGAACCAUGCCAUCCAGUAAUGGACCUAUCAAUUUCAUAAUGCAAAAUAAAAAUUCAGGUAGAAAGCAAAGACAAAAAUUAAAAGAAAAGCAAGAUCAUGUUAUAAUGAGAAAAUUAAGAGUAGUCCAGUGUAUAGAAGGGUGCUAUUAUUGAAAGAGUUUGAAAUAGUGACUUAGUUAUUUUGAAACAUUUUUGAAGACGUUAUUUAGCUGGAAAUGACAGAAAGACUGAAAAUGGUGAAUGUGGAGGUGGAUCUUCCCUUGUCCAUAUUUAUCUUGUCUUCGUUUGAGGUCUGGGGUGUCUAUACUUCCUCUGAAUUACCUGAUCUUACUACAGUGUCUGGCACAGAGCAUCUCCCCAGUGAAUAUGUACUAAAUGAGUAGAAAGUAAUUGAUAGAUUCAAAAGAGUUGUGCAAGAAUAAUGUUCAUUAUUUGACUAAUCACUGAAUGUGGUGUUUCAAGGAAGACAAUGAAUCAAAGUUGACUUGAAAGGUAAGCCCAGGGCCAGACGUGGUGGCUCAUUUCUGUAAUCCCAGCACUUUGGGAGGCCGAGAUCAGUGGAUCCCUUGACACCAGGAGUUUGAGACCAGCCUAGGCAACACAGUGAAAACCUGUCUCUACAACAAAUACAAAAAUUAGCCGGGUGUGGUGGUAUGCAUCUGUAGUUCCAGCUACUCAGGAGGCUGAGGUGGGAGGAUCGCUUGAACUCAGGAGGUGGAGGUUGCAGUGAACAGAGAACGCACCGGUACCUGGACAACAAAGUGAGACCCUGUCAUAAAAUAAAAUAGUUAAACCCAGGCCAGGAGGGGUGGCUCAUGCCUGUAAUCCCAGCACUUUGGAAGGCCAAGGUAGGCUGAUCACGUGACGUCAGGAGGUUGAGACCAGCCUGGCCAACAUGGUGAAACCCCGUCUCUACUAAAAAUACAAAAAUUAACCAAGCGUGGUGGCAGGCACCUGUAGUCCCAGCUACUCUGGAGGCUGAGACAGGAGAAUUACUAGAACCCGGGAGGCAGAGGUUGCAGUGAGCCAAGAUCUUACCAUUGCACUGCAGCCUGGGCGACAGAGUGACACUCUGUCGAAAAAAAAAAAAAAAAAAAAGUUAAGCCCAAAAAGUAAGUAAGGAAGAGGUUUGGAAUUAGAUAUUUGUUGUAUGAAUGAGUGAGCUAAAGUGCAAAAGAACGGGCAGAAUAACUGAGCUGGUACAGAGGGAAAAAAUCACAUUUAAAAUCUAAAAAUAUCUGCUUCUUAGUUCAGGCUUUCCCACUUAGCAGCUUUGGCACCUUAGGAACACUUAACUUAUCUGAGCCUCUAUUACUUCUAAAAAGUGCAUAAAGUGCAGACUAAGACAGUUUUUUUGGCAAAAUUCAGUCAGACUACAUCAAGUAAACUCCCUAAGUCUCCUAGUAUAAUUCAUGGCACAAAAAAUUGGGGAAAAAACAGGGAGGAUAUGAUUAUAAGUUCAGUUUAUGUUUUUUGUUGAGUGAAUGUCUCCAGUCAUAGAGAUGCAAGUGUAGAUACACAGUAAGAGUAGUAUGAAUGGGAGACACCUUGGAAGGCUAUUUCUUCCUUCCUUCAUUCAGUUGGUCACUCAGUGAACUAUCAUGAAUUGAGCACCGCCUCUGUUUCUUAUCAACAAAGGAGACUGCGGAAAAGAAGAGUGACUAAGAUCUCUGAAGAAGGGAAAAGCUAGAUGACUGGGCCACAAGAGGAAAAAAAGCAGCAAGACAGUUACAAUUGUUUCUGGUCCCACUUUUAUAAACACACACACACACACACACACACACACACACACACACAAAAUCAUUUAAUCAUUUUUAAGUAUUUAAUCAUUUUUUAAAAAUCUGUGAUGCUUUACCUGGGCAUGUCUAGGCAGGUCCUCCUUUGCUAGGACGUGCCCUUUUCUGUCCCGGAAUACUCUAAACUUGGCAUUUUGGCAGCGUGAAGUUUUCCCGUUGUGACUUUCUCCUUGUUCCCUUUUCUCCUCCUUCUUUGCAGACAAUGAGUAGCCACUGCUGUUUGCCCUGGCCCAUCAAUGAGAAGAUCUGCUCUUAGAGCCCUGCUUUCCUGCUGAAGGCCCUGAAAUCACCUGUGUUCCAGGCCACCUGCUAACAAUAAAUAAUGCUGCCCUGAUGUGGGGAAUUAGCUCAAGUGGUAGAGCGCUUGCUUAGCACGCAAGAGGUAGUGGGAUCGAUGCCCACAUUCUCCAAGCUUUAUUAUUUAGACAUCGUGUCUCCAAACACUCAGGUCUCCAAACCCAAGUUAGUGUCUGAGAACAGGAUGCUGCUUUGGUUCAAGACGUAGGAGCAGCAAUAAUAGAGGGCUGGUGAUGGCUCCCUCUUGGCAUUCAGUAUAGUGUAGAUCUACCAUGUAAUUAAUUCUCUGUUUCUUUGAGGAGCUGUGAAACCAAGGGACAUAUACAACUGCUCUUUUCUCCCUGUUUCUACCUGCAGCUUUGUCCUAAAUGUGAGACAAUUAUGAAAAGUGCAGCGCAGAGCCACUUGGGUAAAUACAGCCCCGGCUUUCUGCUCAGGGGACAGAGUUUGAGGCACUGCAGAGGAACCGGCCAAAGUAUGAGACCCAUAUAUUGAGAGUAACAGAGUGUAAAGUUCAAAAAAAUCAAAAUAUUUAAAGAUUUAUCAUGGGUCUUGAUGACAUGAUGGAAUCUCUCUACUCUCUGGACUUAUUAUGUGUGGUAAUAAAUUUACUUUUUAAAAGCCAGUUGAGUGUUUUUAAUGUUGUGGAGCUAUUGCUAAGAGUUUCCUGAGUUUUUUCCAGUAAUGUAGAGAUCUUUGUGCUAAAUAUUUCAUAAAGAAGUUUGG